CUUGCUUCUCUUGAGAGCGGCGGACGGGUGAGUAAUGCCUAGGAAUCUGCCUGGUAGUGGGGGAUAACGUCCGGAAACGGACGCUAAUACCGCAUACGUCCUACGGGAGAAAGCAGGGGACCUUCGGGCCUUGCGCUAUCAGAUGAGCCUAGGUCGGAUUAGCUAGUUGGUGGGGUAAUGGCUCACCAAGGCGACGAUCCGUAACUGGUCUGAGAGGAUGAUCAGUCACACUGGAACUGAGACACGGUCCAGACUCCUACGGGAGGCAGCAGUGGGGAAUAUUGGACAAUGGGCGAAAGCCUGAUCCAGCCAUGCCGCGUGUGUGAAGAAGGUCUUCGGAUUGUAAAGCACUUUAAGUUGGGAGGAAGGGCAGUAAAUUAAUACUUUGCUGUUUUGACGUUACCGACAGAAUAAGCACCGGCUAACUCUGUGCCAGCAGCCGCGGUAAUACAGAGGGUGCAAGCGUUAAUCGGAAUUACUGGGCGUAAAGCGCGCGUAGGUGGUUCGUUAAGUUGGAUGUGAAAUCCCCGGGCUCAACCUGGGAACUGCAUUCAAAACUGACGAGCUAGAGUAUGGUAGAGGGUGGUGGAAUUUCCUGUGUAGCGG
rnacentral:rRNA from 1 species